ensembl:lncRNA
GCGCGUGGUCGCGAGCACAUGGAAAUGAGGUGGAGAUCUGGGUCUGAAAGACGCGCAAGUGAUCAUCCGAAAAAUGGAAUAUAAUAUAUAUAGCAACCGAAUGAUCCGGCAGUGCAUACCAGUGCAGGAUCCUCAAGGCCCACAGCUCCCCUCUCUUCUUGGAAAGCGUUUUACGGCUGCACCCUGGGGCCGCCAGCCUCCAAGCGUACGACUCGUGACAUUAACAUAAAUCACGGCCGGAAAGCGCUAUCUUUGUGAUCUUCAUUAUCUGCAGCCACAGACGCUGCAGAAGACCCCAAGGAACCCCAGGAAAAAUGUCAAACAUUCUGAGAAACGUUGUCACUGCCUUCAUUGAUAAUAAACCGAAAGGGCAAUUUUUCUGCCGUUUUUAAUACUUCAAAUGUACCCAAUGCUUCAGAUUGGGUACAUUUGGUACUAGACAAACUGUCCCUACCCCUUAUGACCCCAUAAGUAUGCCGCCAAAGGUCAGGAAAACUGGUUCCAUUUGGUAAAUCCCCACCGUAUGUUUCUGAGGGUGGGUGACUGGAAAUGAAGAUGUAUGCAAAAGAGG